CUACGGGUCGCAGCAGUGAGGAAUAUUGCACAAUGGGGGGAACCCUGAUGCAGCAACGCCGCGUGGAGGAUGACGCAUUUCGGCGUGUAAACUCCUUUUAUAUGUCAAGAAAAUGACGGUAGCAUAUGAAUAAGCACCGGCUAACUCCGUGCCAGCAGCCGCGGUAAUACGGAGGGUGCAAGCGUUACUCGGAAUCACUGGGCGUAAAGGACGCGUAGGCGGGUUGGUAAGUCAGGUGUGAAAUCCUACAGCUUAACUGUAGAACUGCACUUGAAACUACCGACCUAGAGUAUGGGAGGGGAAGAUGGAAUUAGUGGUGUAGGGGUAAAAUCCGUAGAUAUCACUAGGAAUACCUAAAGCGAAGGCGAUCUUCUGGAACAUUACUGACGCUAAGGCGUGAAAGCGUGGGGAGCAAACAGGAUUAGAUACCCUAGUAGUC
rnacentral:rRNA from 1 species